UACGAAGGGGGCUAGCGUUGUUCGGAAUUACUGGGCGUAAAGCGCGUGUAGGCGGGUCUUUAAGUCAGGGGUGAAAUGCCAGGGCUCAACCUUGGAACUGCCUUUGAUACUGGAGACCUUGAGUCCGGGAGAGGUGAGUGGAAUUGCGAGUGUAGAGGUGAAAUUCGUAGAUAUCUGGAGGAACACCGGUGGCGAAGGCGGCAUCCUGGACCGAUAUUGACGCUGAUGCGCGAAAGCCAGGGGAGCAAACAGG
rnacentral:rRNA from 1 species